UGCCAGAUUAACGCGAAAGAAAAACACUGAGUUCAGGCAAGAACCGGAAGCCGUGUGUGUGAUGUGCGUUGUUUGUCAGAUGUACAAAUACAGAAUUUAUGUUUAAAAUAAGCCUUCCGUCGGUUUAGGGUAGAGUAAAUAUCUAUAGAGCUGAAUGAAGUGAGCAGCUGGGCUGACGGCACUGCAGUGGAGAUAGAUAUCAUAGUGUGAAAUGAGCAGCAUGGCUAAAUCUGGCGCUGUGUACAGGAAGUGUUGUGUCGUUAAUUGUGCACGUGGAUAAUUAUCGGGUCAUGUCCACUCUAAAGAGGAAGUUAUUGUCAAAGACCAGUGUUUGUGCACCAGUAAUGAAGCGACUCCAUCAGCCGGGUGGGGGUGGUGGAGGCAGCGGCAGAGGCGAGGGCAUGGAUGAAGACCCGACCUGCAGUCAGUACUUUCCCAGUAAAGCUGAUAAUGGGACCAGGCUGAGAUCCGCCUUCUUUAACCAGCCAUGUGUUGAUUUAGCCAAGGCGCUUUUGGGUAAGGUGCUGGUGCGCAGGCAUUCUGACGGCACGGAGCUGAGAGGCAGGGUGGUGGAGACGGAGGCCUACUUGGGCGGGGAAGACAAGGCAUCGCACUCGGCUGGUGGCAAGCGCACAGAAAGAAACGCAGCCAUGUUCAUGAAGCCUGGCACCAUCUACGUCUACCCCAUUUAUGGCAUCUAUCUUUGCAUGAAUAUCUCCAGCCAGGGGGAAGGGGCAGCCGUGCUGUUACGUUCACUUGAGCCCCUUCAGGGUCAGGAUGUCAUGAGGAGGCUGCGGUCAUCCAAACGUAAAGAGGGUGCCAAGACGGUGAAGGACAGAGAAUUAUGUAAUGGCCCGUCUAAGCUGUGCCAGGCCCUGGAUGUCCAGCGCAGCUUCGACCACAGGGACCUGGCCUCAGAUGCCGAUGUGUGGCUAGAGACGGACACAGAGUGGGACAUGCCAGGAGCAAGAGACUUGGUUUCAGCCCCUCGGAUUGGAAUCGAGUCCCAUGGAGAAUGGGCCUUCAAACCUCUGCGAUUUUACCUGCGAGGUCACCCUUGUGUUAGUGUGGUGGACAAAGUGGCUGAGAGCAAGCAGUAGGAAGUUAAUGAGUCCCAUGAGACUAAGACGGGAAGACAUUAUGAUGCUUUAAAAAUCUUAGUGUUGCUAUGACAGGAGCAGUCCACUAAUGUCUGGAAGCAUCAGCACACGAGAGCCAGGUCAGCAUCUUGUGCCAGCUGCUGCAGGUUCUUCAUAGCUGAACAGAUCUUUAUGAGACGCAACAGAGCAGGAGAACAAUCGAGUGGGAGUUGAUCCAGCAGGG